rnacentral:rRNA from 1 species
GAUGAACGCUGGCGGCGUGCCUAAUACAUGCAAGUCGAGCGAACGGACGAGAAGCUUGCUUCUCUGAUGUUAGCGGCGGACGGGUGAGUAACACGUGGGUAACCUACCUAUAAGACUGGGAUAACUUCGGGAAACCGGAGCUAAUACCGGAUGAUAUUUUGAACCGCAUGGUUCAAAAGUGAAAGACGGUCUUGCUGUCACUUAUAGAUGGAUCCGCGCUGCAUUAGCUAGUUGGUAAGGUAACGGCUUACCAAGGCAACGAUGCAUAGCCGACCUGAGAGGGUGAUCGGCCACACUGGAACUGAGACACGGUCCAGACUCCUACGGGAGGCAGCAGUAGGGAAUCUUCCGCAAUGGGCGAAAGCCUGACGGAGCAACGCCGCGUGAGUGAUGAAGGUCUUCGGAUCGAAAAACUCUGUUAUUAGGGAAGAACAUAUGUGUAAGUAACUGUGCACAUCUUGACGGUACCUAAUCAGAAAGCCACGGCUAACUACGUG